GAUGCCUCAAGUGCAGGGAUCUCACGAUGAGGACCGUGAACAAAAGAAAAAGCCUGCGUGUGUCCAGAAAACAAGAAGAGAAGAAAGGAGAGAGGGCCAGAAGAACUAUCUGGAUCCAGCAUGGCCCAGAACUUUCUAAAAUUAGUUACAGAUAACAAACCCCAGAUCUAGGAAGCUCGGAGAAUACCAGGUUCUGAUGCCCUUCUCUUCCCAGUCCGGAACUGGUUUUGAAGACUCAGACCCUGGACCUCACUGGACCUGCUCGGGCAUUAGGCUGCUGGCUCUUUCUCACAGCCAAGUUCAUACCCACUGGGCUUCCAGGAUCAUGCUCUCGGUCUUGACAGACUCAAGGAGCAUGAGCCAAAAAGAAAAUAAAUAAAUAAAUAAAUAUAAGGCUGUUCUUUACAAAAUAAAUAUAGGCUGCUCUUUA